GACGAACGCUGGCGGCGUGCCUAAUACAUGCAAGUAGAACGCUGAAGGAGGAGCUUGCUUCUCUGGAUGAGUUGCGAACGGGUGAGUAACGCGUAGGUAACCUGCCUGGUAGCGGGGAAUAACUAUUGGAAACGAUAGCUAAUACCGCAUAAGAGUAGAUGUUGCAUGACAUUUGCUUAAAAGGUGCAAUUGCAUCACUACCAGAUGGACCUGCGUUGUAUUAGCUAGUUGGUGGGGUAACGGCUUACCAAGGCGACGAUACAUAGCCGACCUGAGAGGGUGAUCGGCCACACUGGGACUGAGACACGGCCCAGACUCCUACGGGAGGCAGCAGUAGGGAAUCUUCGGCAAUGGACGGAAGUCUGACCGAGCAACGCCGCGUGAGUGAAGAAGGUUGUCGGAUCGUAAAGCUCUGUUGUAAGAGAAGAACGAGUGUGAGAGUGGAAAGUUCACACUGUGACGGUAUCUUACCAGAAAGGGACGGCUAACUACGUG
rnacentral:rRNA from 1 species